rnacentral:rRNA from 1 species
AAUUGGAGGGCAAGUCUGGUGCCAGCAGCCGCGGUAAUUCCAGCUCCAAUAGCGUAUAUUAAAGUUGUUGCAGUUAAAAAGCUCGUAGUUGAAUUUCGGGGUCAGUAGAUUGGUCGUGCCACUGGUAUGUACUGGUCUUACUGGCUCCUCCUUCCUGAUGAACCGUAAUGCCAUUAAUUUGGUGUUGCGGGGAGACUGGACUGUUACUUUGAAAAAAUUAGAGUGUUUAAAGCAGGCUAACGCUUGAAUACAUUAGCAUGGAAUAAUGAAAUAGGACGUUCGAUCUUAUUUUGUUGGUUUCUAGGAUUGACGUAAUGAUUAAUAGGGAUAGUUGGGGGCAUUAGUAUUCAAUUGUCAGAGGUGAAAUUCUUGGAUUUAUUGAAGACUAACUACUGCGAAAGCAUUUGCCAAGGAUGUUUUCAUUAAUCAAGAACGAAAGUUAGGGGAUCGAAGACGAUCAGAUACUGUCGUAGUCUUAACCAUAAACUAUGCCGACUAGGGAUCGGAUGAUGUUAAUUUUUUAAUGACUCAUUCGGCGCCUUACGGGAAACCAAAGUGU